AUUAAUUAAAAAAAUAAAGUUAAAUAUAAAAAUUGAAACAAAAAUGUAAAAUUAAAAGAUUAAACAAUUUACAUAAGCCAACAAGUCGUCAUUAGGAAACGAACCCUCAAAUCUUUGUUAGAUAAGCAAAUUUUCUUAAAUUAUUUUCCAAGCAACCUUUUGUAUAUCUUUUGUUACAUUGUUUUAGUGUUAAUUACUUUGAUUAAAUUGUGUGAAUAAUGGUAUUAAACAAAUAUAAAAUUGAAGGUAAACACCAUUCCAGGAUUGUAUUGAUAUUGGUAGUUGGACUGGAAGAGGAGAAAAAAAUGAACGACUCAUUUCAAUAAUUGAAUAACUCAUCUGAUCAAAGGAAAUUCAUUCAAUGGAUUCUGCGUCAUAUUUUCACUUCAAAUUUGGCUUUACUUUUGCUGUUCAAUUUUUAUCAAGAUUCUGAGUUAUUCUGGAAACUAAAUUGGUUACAAUGUUGCUCUUGGUUUAUUUAGGUAUCAUUGUGAUGAUAUGAUAAAUAUGAGCAGAAAAUUUUGUUCUGGUUUGGUUACAGUGUAAAUAACUCAGAGAAGAGGAAAAAUAGUUGCAACAAAAAUGGACUAACUAUUACUUGGAUUGAUAUAUUAUUAUAUAAAAUAAUCCAUUGGAAAGGAGGGCGAAAAAAGAGGAAAAAAGAUAAUGUUGCAUUUUGAAUAAUAAAAUGGAUCCCAGUUAUUACAAUUUAGAGUUUGCACUUUACUUGGUUAAUGUAACUCUGUCUACACUGUUAAACCUGAUCAAAGCGCAACAAUUUGUUUCAUCUUGUAUAACUAUUGUUAAACAAGUUGUCACUACAAUAAUGGAAAACAUGGUAGAUUAAUCCUGCCAAGGUGUUAACCCAAAUUAACUCUCAACAUGGAAGUCAAUGUAAUGUGGAUAACAACAAAGCUACUGAACAUUAGGAGAAAAUGACAUGAAAAUAAUCAAACCAAUGGAUUUCAAUUUGUUAUAACAGCGGAUAUACAAGAAGAAGGAGAAAAAAUUGUCACAAAAAUUAUAAUAAAUGAGCUAAGACUGUGCAUUUAUCAAGCCAUUGGAGCACGCACUUUUUUCAGUUGAAAAACAAAAUCAAAAAGGAUAAAGAAAUGUAGGUGGUGAAAAAAAAUUGGAAUCUUGGGGAGGAAAACAAGUUGUUAUUAUGAUAAAACGAUUUUACAGGUCAAAGAAAUUUGCUGAACCACCUCGUCACAAUCAUUUCUCAUACUCAACUUGAAAUAUAAAUUUAUGGUUCAUCUUCCGUUAUUUUGAUCGAUAUCAUCUAUUUAUCUGAGUAUUACUAUAUACAGUAGACAAAAUAUAUGAAUAUGUGUUGAGCAAAAAGUUAUACAUGCAAUGACUUUAGGUUCAAGACAUUUCUCUUCAUAAGGCAGUAGGAAGAUGAAGUAAAAGGAAAAGGAGGAUAAAUAGGAAAGAUAAAGAGGGUAAAAAGCACAAGGCUGUAAGAUGAUAUAGUGUCAAGGUAACUCGGCUGAUGAUAAGGUUAGAGGAAACAUUACAAAUAAUGCACGCUUCUCAAUUGGUAGAGAUAAAUCAUGUGUACACAUAAAUCUACUUUUUGAUAUUAUCUAUUCUCAGAGUUGAUCAAAUUCAAGACUUACGGUUAAGGUGUAAAUAACGGUGAAAGUAUGCAAGAUAUGGGAGUAAAGGAUUGCAUUAGAAUAGAUGAAAGAGUUGCCAAAAACAAGGCUAUUAAAUAAUCAAGGAAAAAGGGGAAGAAAAGUAAAUCAAAAUCCAAAGGUAUUUAAGGUUAAACUAUAAUCCAUAAGGGAUGAAAAUGAUGAUGAACUUUAUUGGACCAUCCAAUGUUGUAUAAUUUAUGAGCAACAAAUGCCUCUAGAGGAUCAAUAUUAAUUUAGUGGCAACAACAACAAAAAACUCUUCUUUAUACUGACUCACCUGAUUGGACAUGAUGAAAAGAGUUGC